UACCUCAUCAACCAGAAGGGAUUCCUUCUGGCCAAUGAGGUAUAACAACCCCAUCGAUUGGAAGGAAUUCCUUCCGGUUAUACCUCAUCAACCAGAAGGAUUUCCUUCAGGUCGAUGAGGUG
rnacentral:miRNA from 1 species